rnacentral:lncRNA from 1 species
UUGACAAUGUUAUGAAUUAGUUUUAAUUAAGGAAUGAUAUUGACAUUUCUUUCUGAACAAUAAUAAUAAUAAUAAAUACAAAAUUAUAUCACAGAUAUCUAUAUAAACAUCUAAAGAAACAACAUGUCUGAUAAACAAGGACACACAAAUGUCAACAAUCUGAUGUGGACAGAAAUAAACACAGAAGGUAAAGAACACACAUUUAUAUCACCGAUUAUAAAAACACAACAUUUUUAGCAACCAACCUCUAUAUAAUAUUUAACAUUUUGUAGUCAUUUGUUUUGUACAAAUCAUCAUAUUCAAUUACUUCACCAUAUAUAUCUAUAUUAUGAUAUUAUGUUUACCGAGGGCAAAGUCUGAGGUCAAUAUAGGUUUUUCUGGGUUUUAUCAACUAUAUUAUAAUCUUGUAACCACAUCAUUAAAAGUUAUAAAUAGUUUUGUUGUUUCAUGUUUUACAAUUGAGAUAGGCUUCAAAAAUUAUCAUUCUUUUCUCAGUAAUUUAAAACAGUUUGACAAUUAUAUCAUCUUUGUGAAGUUAAUUUAGAAACAAAAGUAGUUACAAAACUCAUGUGUGGUAGAAUAUGAUAUCUAACAUAGUCAUAAACAGUACAAAUACUUUAUAUUCAAAGCAUCAUUAUUGAAGAUUUCUUGGUAAAUAUUGAAAUCAAUUUUGCAUGAUAAUAACCAAUUAAUUUGGUUGGCAAUAAACAAUAUCUAAAUUUAUCGGUGGACAAUUAUUUUCAAACAUUUAAUACUUUGUCAUCUCUUAACAAAUUUAGACUCUCUAAAAUAAACCUUGGAAAGUACAUGUCUACUCAAAUUUGUUUUUGAAAUAAAAUAAAUCAUUUCUAAAUCUUUCUACAAAUUUUUGGAUUUUAACACAUCAAAACUAAAUAAAAUCAACAGAUAAAUUUCAACAAAUCUCCUGAAAACUUUUAUAAUAAACCUUUAAUGUGUAUUUAAGGUUAUUUUGUUGGUGCGAACAUACUUAAAGUAUUCUGAAAUAGUAAAUGAGUUAUCUCAAUGUUCUGCAGGCCCAUGAAACAAAAGUGCUGAAUCGUUAUCAUGUGUGAUACCAACUUUUGUCUGGAUUUUGUUAAUAAAGGUGAAAACAAAUAAAUUAACCUCAAGCAUGACACCACUUCUAUUUUUUUUUACAAUGAAAUAAAAAAAUUAUUUAACAAGAAUGUGUCCAUAGUACAAGGAUGCCCCACUCGCACAAUCAUUUUCUAUGUUCAGUGGACCGUGAAAUUGGGGUCAAAACUUAAAUUUGGAAUUAAAAUUAGAAAGAUCAUAUCAUAGGGAACAUGUGUACUAAGUUUCAAGUUGAUGUAACUUUAAC